rnacentral:rRNA from 1 species
GUGAACGCUGGCGGUAGGCCUAACACAUGCAAGUCGAACGGCAGCACAGUAAGAGCUUGCUCUUACGGGUGGCGAGUGGCGGACGGGUGAGGAAUACAUCGGAAUCUACUUUUUCGUGGGGGAUAACGUAGGGAAACUUACGCUAAUACCGCAUACGACCUACGGGUGAAAGCAGGGGAUCUUCGGACCUUGCGCGAUUGAAUGAGCCGAUGUCGGAUUAGCUAGUUGGCGGGGUAAAGGCCCACCAAGGCGACGAUCCGUAGCUGGUCUGAGAGGAUGAUCAGCCACACUGGAACUGAGACACGGUCCAGACUCCUACGGGAGGCAGCAGUGGGGAAUAUUGGACAAUGGGCGCAAGCCUGAUCCAGCCAUACCGCGUGGGUGAAGAAGGCCUUCGGGUUGUAAAGCCCUUUUGGUGGGAAAGAAAAGCAGCAGGUUAAUACCCCGCUGUUCUGACGGUACCCAAAGAAUAAGCACCGGCUAACUUCGUG